AGACUGUGGUUGAAUCAAUUCAUUCUGACUCUUCUCAGAGUGAACACUUGUACAAUGGAUCUUCAUUCAGUUAUUCUGCUCUGUGUCUCAGCUGCUGCUGUCUUUGGAAAUGUCAUCAAACCAGAACAGCUUGAUGUUUUUGCUGAGGAGGGUUCAAGUGUUACAUUAUCCUGUACUUUUUCUGACUUUGGAGUUACAAACUAUCUCCACUGGUACCGUCAGAAUGGAAGAUCAAAACCUGAAUUUCUUGUACUCACCCACAGUAAAGCAAAAGAAGCUGAGGUGUCUAAGAUAGAUCCAAGAUUCUCUGUUAACAUUACAAAAAAGGACCAUGUGGAUCUGGAGAUCUCUUCUGCUGCUGUUUCAGACUCUGCUCUGUACUACUGUGCUCUGGUGCCCACAGUGACAGGAAACACAUCAGCUCUCUACAGAUACCUGUUACACUGAGAGACAAGAGAGAAACACAGAGACAGAAUGAAGACAGAGAGAAAGAAGCUGUAUGGCAAUUAUGAA